rnacentral:rRNA from 1 species
GACGUAGGGGGCAAGCGUUGUCCGGAGUUACUGGGCGUAAAGCGCACGCAGGCGGUCGACCACGUUUGAGGUGACAGGGGGUGGCUUAACUGCCCCAGGACCUUGAAGACGGGCCGACUUGAGGGAGUGAGAGGGACCGAGAAUUCCGGGUGGAGUGGUGAAAUGCGUAGAGAUCCGGAGGAAUACCCAUGGCGAAGGCAUGGUCCUGGCACUCAGCUGACGCUCAGGUGCGAAAGCGAGGGGAGCGAACGGG